GCAUGCAUGCACACAUUGUUAUUCAGUCAGUUAUAUAUAUACACACUCAUAUUGCCGGUCCACCCCUUGGUAUAAAAUCUGUCAGUCUUUGUGCUUUGGAUGUACUGUGUGUCCCUGUCCAUCUGUGUGUCUCCUGUGUGUGCUGCUAUCACCCUUUCAUACAGUACAGAUUCUUUUAGCAGAACGUUUUCCCCACAACUUGUCUAAAAACACAGCGGGGCAAUGAGAACCAGUCUAAAAGAAAAGCAUCGGAUACAGAGAGCCAGCGCUGAGCUGAAGAUUCUCACCUGUUGACACCUCAUCAAUCUCCCAAGUCCUCCUGUCAGUAAGGUAU